AUACUGCAGGUCGAGCGGACAGAAGGGAGCUUGCUCCCGGAUGUUAGCGGCGGACGGGUGAGUAACACGUGGGUAACCUGCCUGUAAGACUGGGAUAACUCCGGGAAACCGGAGCUAAUACCGGAUAGUUCCUUGAACCGCAUGGUUCAAGGAUGAAAGACGGUUUCGGCUGUCACUUACAGAUGGACCCGCGGCGCAUUAGCUAGUUGGUGGGGUAAUGGCUCACCAAGGCGACGAUGCGUAGCCGACCUGAGAGGGUGAUCGGCCACACUGGGACUGAGACACGGCCCAGACUCCUACGGGAGGCAGCAGUAGGGAAUCUUCCGCAAUGGACGAAAGUCUGACGGAGCAACGCCGCGUGAGUGAUGAAGGUUUUCGGAUCGUAAAGCUCUGUUGUUAGGGAAGAACAAGUGCGAGAGUAACUGCUCGCACCUUGACGGUACCUAACCAGAAAGCCACGGCUAACUACGUGCCAGCAGCCGCGGUAAUACGUAGGUGGCAAGCGUUGUCCGGAAUUAUUGGGCGUAAAGGGCUCGCAGGCGGUUUCUUAAGUCUGAUGUGAAAGCCCCCGGCUCAACCGGGGAGGGUCAUUGGAAACUGGGAAACUUGAGUGCAGAAGAGGAGAGUGGAAUUCCACGUGUAGCGGUGAAAUGCGUAGAGAUGUGGAGGAACACCAGUGGCGAAGGCGACUCUCUGGUCUGUAACUGACGCUGAGGAGCGAAAGCGUGGGGAGCGAACAGGAUUAGAUACCCUGGUAGUCCACGCCGUAA
rnacentral:rRNA from 1 species